rnacentral:lncRNA from 1 species
GGAAUCUUCAACUUGCCAUUCCAUUAAUCUUCUGAGAAAGCUUUGCUUCUGGCAUAUAGAAUCUUAUUUGGUAAUUUUUAGUUAAUUUACAGAGUACCUUCGGUUAGGGAAACAGAUUGAAACUAGAAAGAUCUUAACCGAUAAAGUCAGAUAUAGGAAAGAACAGAGGAGAAAGAAAAUAUAACCAUUUGAGAUACAAACUUGAAACUCUUUGGGAGAAACACAUAAAUCCACAACAGAGGAAGUUUACGAUUUUUCGAUGAGAUUUAGGUGAGAAGAUGAGAGAUCAUCUUGCCAAGAGAGAGAG